GCGGCUGCGUGUGGGGUGCUGAGCGCUGAGGCGGUUGCGUGGAGGUGGCCGAGAAGCUCGGGAAGGCAGGGCGGAGCGGAGGGUCCCACGCACCCUAAAAUUGGCGUGUGGAAUCACAGAAUCACGACGGUUGGAAAAGUGCUUUCAUAUCGUCUCGUCCAACCUCUGGCCCUCCACCACCACGCCCACUGAGCGCGUCCCUCAGUGCCGCGUGAACGCGGUUCUUAAACGCCUCCAGGGACGGUGACUGCGCCGCCUCCCUGGGCAGCUGUGCCACCGCCUCACCGCUCUGAGAAGGGUUUUUUUUCCUAAUAUCCAACCUAAAAAGGAAUGGAGUGUUAAUUCUUCGUGGCAGAUGCUGGGAUUGAAGGGCCGUGAAGAUGGUGAAGGGCCUGGAGCACCUCUCCUGUGAGAAGCUAAAAACGCUGUGCCUGCUCAGCCCGGGUUACUCGGACUCGGGGAUCUCUGAAGGGAGACCGCACAGAGGACGGAGCCAGGCUCUGUUCAGCGGUGCUCAGCGCCAGGGCCAGAGGCCAUAGGCAUAAAGCGCAGCACAGGAGCUCCCUCUGAGCACUAGGUAGCUCUCUGUGCCGUGCGGGUGACGGAGCGCUGCCACAGGCUGCCCAGAGGCUGGAGAGUCUCCUUGGAGACCUCCAAAAGCACCUGGAGGUGGGCCUGGGCACCGUGCUCUGGGUGUCCCUGCUGGAGCAGGGCCUGUGCCGGAUGGACCUGGAGGCCCUGCCUGCUUCAGACCCGCUGUGAUUCUGUGAAAUCUGCUGGCACCAGAAGGCAGUUUGAUGGUUUCUGUGGGCACGGGUAUGUCAGGCACACUGCUCACUUUCUGCAGACUCAGCCCAGCGUGGCUCAGUCAGGCAGGCAAGGCAGCCUGUGAGGCUUGCUCAUCCGGCAGCUGAAAAACAAAUACUCGAUGAAGUGGUAAAGAUGUUGUUAAAAUUAGGUUAAAGGGUUUCCUCCGCAUCUUGUGUUUUGCUAUAAACGGAUCACGAGUUUUGCUAUAAAGCACAGCCGAGGACCGCUUCCUGCCGGAGGUAGCUGUGCCAAGCAGAGCAACGUUCAUCGCUGCUCCGAGUACGUGAGAAGCAGCGGCACAGGAGGAGGAGGGCAGAGCUCGGGGAGGCCCUGAGCUGCUGCGAGGCCGCUGGGGGAGGCAGUUCCCCGGCAGCCUGCAGCUGUGGGGCGGUGGGGGAAGGAGGAGUAAUGCGUUCUGGUGCUGCUGCGUGCUAGGGCAGAGCGGUGAGGCUGCUGCUUACAGCCCUGCCACCUUCCUUCUGUUGCAAACUUAUGCUCACAAAAAAUCCUCUCUGUAUAUAUUGUAUGUGGUAUACGUAUAUACAUACGUCUGUGUGUUGGUGCCCCCCACACACAGUAAAUACCUGUCCUGGUUUCAGCUGCAAUAGGGUUAACUUUCUUCCUCCUUCAGUUUCUCAUAGCUCAAUCCAAAACAUACUGUAGUUGACUUUAUUUUAAAUUUAAAAUAGAGGGAAUUUUAUCAUACAAUGAAAAUAGUGAGUAAGCUGUCCCACCUUGCUCCUAUCUUGGUAUGUGACUCCCUCACUGCUUUCUCUCUCUCCAGAUUUUGUUGCCCAUGCCCACUUGUGAGCGCUCGUCUCUUGGACAGAGGCAGCCAGGCAGCCUUAUACUGACAGCAUUUUCCAGUCCCAGGGAAAACCUCCACCCUCCCAAGCUCAGAUCCUGAUCAGACUCAAGAUAGAGCCUGCCAAGCGAUUGCCUCCCUUUGUUUCUGGCAUCAAGACUUUAUGAGGUAUAGUUAGCCCACACGGCAUUACACGAUGCAUGGCUACUUAUAAGGGUGGGGAGGCCACGAAUACCUCCCUGCGCAGCAGUCGUAAACACGGAAAGGGUGUGAACAGGGAAGGGCAAAGACUGCAGCCAUGAGAUCAUGCUUUUACUUUGGAACCCCGAUGACCUUUAGAUAAUGUUGCUUAACACAUGGAACGACUGAUAUUUUGCAUUCCUAAACCGCCCACCAACACAGCUUAGAAAUUCCACUUUGUUUCAGAGUAAAUUGCCAGAACUUCAGACAUACAGGUGGUUUGCUUCUUUCCCACAGAUUUUUUUUGUCGGUAUUCCUCUGAUAACCUUGCUCUGGUUAUUACAAUUAUCAUAAGCAGUACUGACUUGUCUCCUCGUUACCUUGUGACCAGUUAAGUAUUAUUUCCCAAUUUAGAGAUGAAGAAGUCUCAUAGUCAGUAGUUAGCAGCACAGGGAGCAUAAUCUGCAUCUUCUGACUCAGAGUCCUGUGCUUUAAACAGCAGACCUUACUUCCUCCUUCAACAAAUUCAUGAUAGCAUCUAAAGGAACUACUUAAAAACAGCUUCCCCCUAAAAUGUUUAAGGUAAUGCAGCAUAAAUAAGUUAGCUUUAUGUAAGCACAACCAAGGUCACUGAUACAUUUAAUUUUGGUGUAGACAGAUGAUUGGAUGUCUCCAGUUUUCCUCUCUUUCCUAAACAGUGAUUAUGUAUAUAUAGAGCAUGGCAGUUUUGCAGAAGUGGUUCUAGAAGGCAGAUUUGGUUUCAGUAUGCUAUUGGUGUUUCUGCAUGCUUCAUAUGUUUUGCAUAGGAGUUUUGGACGUAAAAGUUUUCACUAAAAACUGAUAUUCUAUCAUAUAUUUGCUUUCUGUUAAAAGAAAUCUGUAUACAGAUCUUUCACUAAGGCAAGAUUUUAUUCUGUAGGUUUUCAUCAUGGCCCUUUAUCCAUAGUGUAAGGGUUGCCUUGUAGCAAAAACACUAACUGGCAGGCAGAUGCUCUGUGAAAAUGAAAGAUCAGCAAAAAGAAGUGAUAAGGCACCUCAUUGCUCGAUUCAUUAAAGCUGAUGGUCAUCUAGCAUAACGCUUCACUUAAUCAUUCCUAUUCAACGCCAUUUUGGCACUCCUGGCAUAAACUUCUGGGGACAAAAAGUGAUCCCAAACCUUUUAUCACCACUACGUUUUGACAUGAGUUUCAGGAGUCGUGGCCUCAGGUUCCAAAACUGGGAAAUGCAAAAAACAAAUUGUAAGUCAGAAAGGGCUCUGACUGGACUAAAUAACCCCUCUAGUCCUACUACCCAUUUAAAAGAAAAUAUAAAAUUCUCUUAGCUAUUCUGAUAUUAAAGUCAUGAAACAUUUGCAAGACAUGGUGAUGUACUGGAAAGAGAUUGCUGUUUUCUUUUGUUAAUGUUUCUUGGGAAACUGGUUCCUCCCCACCUCACCCCCUCAUCUGGAGAACCAGAGGGACACCAAGGAGGCCAGAACAGAGCUAUUCAGGACCGCACAGGGAGGGGGAAGCCAGGUACAGGUGAAGAGUGAUCCGCUUUAAAUACCGUUUUCUUUGCGUCUGGACUCACGUUUAAACACCUGUGGCUCUGUUCAGGACCAGCAGCAAGUGCUGGUCAGUGACAUCUCUUCUGGUUGCUUCAGCCAGCCAGGCCCUGGGUGCCACACAGCGAUGUCACUGUGAUGACAUGUUGGUGUCGUGGUGACAUUUGAGCAUUGCCCAACAGAAUACUCCAACAGUUCUGUUCUAUUUUGCUUAUCGACUGGUAGGGCAAAGACUGGCUUAUCACAGAAGUGCUUCCAUGUCAGAACUUCAGUCAGAGACAAUAAAAAUUAAAAUUUAGCUACCUGAAUCAGAAAUGUCUUCUGUUUCAGUGCCAGAAAAGCUGGGUUGAGUCCUCAGGCUCCCCUUCUCCUCAUCCUUCCCAGCAGGAUAAGAAGGAACAAUUUGGGAUGCUGCUGCAGCAUGGAUAAAGGAGGAAAAGGAUUCACUAAUUCUUCAGAUAAAGAACAAACCACAUGCUUCCCUCACAUUUCUUCUGAGGAGAACAAAGCCAGCAUCUCCUCAGCUUUCCACAGAAACUCCACAACUGGUUGCAAGUGACCAAUUUAGGAUGAGUUGGUGAAGUCACGGUGGAAACUGUGUUGUCAUCAGUGAAGAAAUAUUUAAGCUGGAAAGGAAGGGACCUGUGAGAGUUUUUCAGACCGAAAACAUGAAAAGCCUCAUUCACCAACUUAAUUGUAUCUAUUCACCAAAACACACCAUGACAGCAAAAGUCCUCUCUUCAGUCUUGCAAAGGAAGAAGCAUCUGCUGCUCACAGGAAGAGAUGAUCCACAACUGCCUGAACACUGCCAGCAAAGAGUUGCCCUGAGGAGAUGAGAGGUGGCUGCCCCUGCCCUGCAGGGAGACCUGAACGAGAGCCACCUGAGGAGCAGACCAGGUGCUCAGCCUAUGUGGGGCGGAGCUGUUCCGCAAGGUAGGAGGCUGCUGGCAGCACCAAAGGAAGAAGGCACAGAGACAGCAGCACCCAUGGGGCCCCCGCCACUCAAGCGCCCUAAGAAAGCUCCACCCAAACCAGUGCUGCUCCAGCCCUGCCAGUCCCUGCUGCAGCAGCACAGAGGGAAACGUGCCAGCCUCUGGCCCCCUUCAAGCUGCCACUGAGCAGACAGAUAAUUCUGGCAAUAUGUUUGAGUAAUACACCUUCUCCACUCUCAGGUCCUUUCAGUUAUUUAUCUAUUUAUCUCUGUAAUGGUUCUGGAAAUAAAAUGUUUAAAGAAUAA